UACGUAGGGGGCAAGCGUUGUCCGGAUUUAUUGGGCGUAAAGAGCGUGUAGGCGGCCAGGUAGGUCCGCUGUGAAAACUCGAGGCUCAACCUCGAGAUGUCGGCGGAAACCAUCUGGCUAGAGUCCGGAAGAGGAGAGUGGAAUUCCUGGUGUAGCGGUGAAAUGCGUUGAUAUCAUCAGGAACACCGGUGGCGAAGGCGGCUUUCUGGGUCUUACCUGACGCUGAGGAACGAAAGCCAGGGGAG
rnacentral:rRNA from 1 species